AUUUCCUUAACCCCCAAACCCCCUUCUUUCUCUCCGAGCAAAUGGGAAACAAAAAUUCCCUUAAAAAAAAUAGAACGUAACUCUUCUAUUCGAAUAACUAGGGUUUCCGAUCAUCAAUCCGUGCGGCGACGAAAAAGAUGUUUGGUGGCAGAGCGCCGCCGAAGAAGAGCGACAUCACCAGGUAAUAUGACAUCUUAGGUGUCUCCAAGACCGCUUCGCAAGAUGAUUUGAAGAAAGCUUACAAGAAAGCCGCCAUUAAGAAUCACACCGAUAAGGGUGGUGAUCCUGAAAAGGGUUGAAAUUUGUCGAAAAAUCCAAUUUUUCGUGGUGGGGUUUGGAGUAGUGUGGUGCUGUAGUGUUGUGUUGUGUUGUCAAGGAUCUGGCAUGAAGGUUUCUAUAAGACACCUUGGUCCAUCAAUGAUUCAGCAAAUGAUGCAGCAUCCUUGCAAUGAAUGUAAGGGUACUGGUGAAACUAUAAAUGAUAGGGACCGCUGCCCACAGUGCAAGGGUGGUAAGGUUUCCCAAGAGAAGAAAGUACUUUAAGUUUUCGUGGAGAAGGGAAUGCAGAACGGGUAGAAGAUUACAUUCCCUGGUGAAGCUGAUGAAGCACCAGAUCCAAUUACUGGGGAUAUCGUGUUUGUGCUUCAGUUGAAGGAACACCCCAAAUUCAAAAGAAAGGCUGAAGACCUCUUUGUGGAGCACACCCUGUCCCUCACUGAGGCGGUGCUUUAUUUCCUGGUUCCUUAAUCUCAAUUCGUUCUCUCUCGUCAGGUUUGUCUUUUCUUUUUUCUUUUCUCCUUCCUCAACGAAAUAUAUAGCACUGAUAUAAACACAAAAUCAAAAUCAAAUAGUGAAUUUAUCCCUUGCUAUGAUAAUUUAAGUCUUGGUUGUGGCUCAGAGCAAAAAUCAAGAACUGCUAAAAAUGUUGUAAAUCAGUUGGAGGGAUCUGACUUGUAUUUUCUUGAUGUCACGAAUUGAUUAUUUUUUGGUAUAUCAUAGGAUUCUUAGCUUUCCUCCCACAUUUUGGAUGAAAGGUCAAAUUUUGAACUGGAUAGAAUAAGGCUAUUGUUUCACUAAUAAGCAACAUUAUGUCUAGUGAGGUUUCAAGCUAGGGGUGUUACAUUGGAGAAGGAAUACAGGUUGAUUUGUAGGCUUUGUACUUCGGUUUCGAAUUUGAAUUUUGCUAAUAUUUUUAACUGUCUAUUGAUAGAUAAUAUCUAAGGGUAGAUAGUGGUACCUUUUCUAAGCUAGUUUCAUUAUCACUAGUAUGCUUCCUGAUACAUGCUCUUCAUUAGUUCUUUUUUAGAAAUCAAAUGUAUUUCAUGGUUUUUUGCAAGUGGCUUGACCAAGACAAGAUUUUAUUCUUACAGGAUCCUAGAAUGCACAAUUCCACUAGUUAUACACUUAUACACUCCAUAUGCAUCCUUCCACAACCUUAGUAAAACAACAUACAGAAGGCUAGAAGUCUGUGUUUCCACUAUCCAGCAAAUGAUGUUGAGUGACAACCAUGAUCAUAUUACCAAAUUUAUCUUUUACACAUACUUGACAAAUUUUUAACAUAUGUAGAGACCAUCGUCGUUAUUAGAUCUGAUAGAUUUCCAACCAUGACCAGAGCUUUGUUUCACUACUAUACCAUUACACUUAAGGUGCACUGAGCAUACAACUUGCCUGUAGAUAGUAUUUCGUCUGCUCCUCUGCAAAUGCCUUUGUUAAAGUGCUCAUAUGUCAUAUCAACACGAUAGCAGGUUUUUGUUUCAUCUACUCCUCAUGAUGUUCCAGGAAGUGAUGAACAAAUUUGAUGGCUAAAUGGAUAGAUAUUAUUAUAGAUCAUGGUUUAUGUAUUGAUGAAUUAUUUUAUAUUUUAAAUCAUUUUGAUACUUAAUUAUACUUAUGACAAGAUAGAUAUGUUUAAGUUGGAUAUUGUAUCUAUUGAUGAAAUUAUUUGAAUAUGAUAAUUGUUUUAUGGUUCA